rnacentral:rRNA from 1 species
CUACGGGAGGCUCCAGUGGGGAAUAUUGCACAAUGGACGAAAGUCUGAUGCAGCAACGCCGCGUGGAGGAUGACACAUUUCGGUGCGUAAACUCCUUUUAUAUAGGAAGAUAAUGACGGUACUAUAUGAAUAAGCGCCGGCUAACUCCGUGCCAGCAGCCGCGGUAAUACGGAGGGCGCAAGCGUUACUCGGAAUCACUGGGCGUAAAGAGCGUGUAGGCGGAUAGAUAAGUCAGGAGUGAAAUCCUAUGGCUCAACCAUAGAACUGCUCUUGAAACUGUCUAUCUAGAAUAUGGGAGAGGUAGAUGGAAUUUCUGGUGUAGGGGUAAAAUCCGUAGAGAUCAGAAGGAAUACCGAUUGCGAAGGCGAUCUACUGGAACAUUAUUGACGCUGAGACGCGAAAGCGUGGGGAGCAAACAGGAUUAGAUACCCUAGUAGUC